rnacentral:rRNA from 1 species
AACGAACGCUGGCGGCAUGCCUAACACAUGCAAGUCGAACGAAGCCUUCGGGCUUAGUGGCGCACGGGUGCGUAACGCGUGGGAAUCUGCCUCUUGCUUCGGAAUAACAGUUAGAAAUGACUGCUAAUACCGGAUGAUGUCUUCGGACCAAAGAUUUAUCGGCAAGAGAUGAGCCCGCGUAGGAUUAGGUAGUUGGUGGGGUAAAGGCCUACCAAGCCGACGAUCCUUAGCUGGUCUGAGAGGAUGAUCAGCCACACUGGGACUGAGACACGGCCCAGACUCCUACGGGAGGCAGCAGUGGGGAAUAUUGGACAAUGGGGGAAACCCUGAUCCAGCAAUGCCGCGUGAGUGACGAAGGCCUUAGGGUUGUAAAGCUCUUUUACCAGGGAUGAUAAUGACAGUACCUGGAGAAUAAGCUCCGGCUAACUCCGUGCCAGCCGCCGCAGUAAUAC